GUUGCCGUUUUUUAAUGUAGAAAUUUUGAGCAGUCGUAAUUUGUACAUAAUCGACAAUUUUGUUCAAUCCCAGUUUAUGUUUGCGAUAAAUUUGUUUGUUUUAGUGUUGCUAUGAGAAAAAAUACACAAACCUCACAAAAACAGUGUUGUAUCGUUGCAAAAACAGCGACUCUACUAUUUGUGAGAACUUUCAUACGUCUGGCAGCUUUGACUAUAAUCCAGCGCUGCCAUCACUAAAGUGGUUCAAGUCGCAAGUUGCAGAAAGAUGUCGUUAGCAUUCCAAACGAGUAAGAAUUUGAAAUCUUACACACGAUUUCUGGAGUUUUUGUUCUAGCUUGGAUAUCUGUUAUCUGUGAUUAAACGUAUCAAGUUUUUACUCGCAUGUGCUGGGAACACCCGUAUAAUCGAUCUAAACAAUCUGAAAUUCCUUUAUAAAAUUAUUCAACAGUUGCAAUAGCAACUUUCGCAAUAGGCCUAUUUAAUCGACUAACUAAAAAGUGUCAUAGACUUGUUUUCUUGCUGUUGUGCAUUUGACCGGGUGUUUCUUUUUCGAUUUUUAUUGAGUUUUUCGGUCGGUGAUUAACUUUAACAUGAAGUCAUCGGAAAGUAAACGAAUUUUCCAUUCUACUGGAGAAAUCGCGGUGACAAAAGCUGUGAACAUUACAUUAGGGGAUAUUUUGGACUACAUAGGAGAUUCCAUUAGGCCGCUUCGAGAAGGACAAUCUGUUUUUGAAUCAGGUCAUGUUGUGUGCAUCGGUUAUACAAAUGAAAGUGAUUCCAUGAUUGAUAUUUGUGGAUUUGUGCUCCAAAGUUCCCACCCAGGAGACGUUCCUCAUGAAGUUAAACUGCAUAUUGGCUACGAUUUUCGUCUUCAUCUCGCUAACACUGGCUUUGUAGAAUAUUUAUAUGUACCAACUCUCGCCAAGCAUGAGGAAUUAGUAAAAGCGAGAAAACUGAUUUAUGGGAAGCCAAAGUUGUCAGGAAUCUUUGCUGUGCCAGGAAGCAUUUGCAACUUGCGGUGAUUGAUCUUGGCAACAUGAGGGAAUUGCUUAAACAAGGCUUUGAUCGUAUUAUGGAUGCUUCACCAGAUUCCGCUGUCAAGAAACACAUCACCGGAAGAGAGCAAACAUGUCAUAGAUUUCCAGUAGGAACACUGCAAACAAAUAAUUUGGACAAGUUUCUGACAAACUAUGAGCUUCGUGAUUUAAUUCAAAUUUCGGAUCAACAUCCUACGCAUUCAAUAGAUAUAAAAUUUGUUUCAGAUGACCAUAAAAUGUUUUAUAAAAAACAUAUAGUCAAAACCUUAUCAGAAAUUGUAGGGAUUUGUAUAGAUACCAAGUUGCAAGAUAAUAGCAGCUGUAGGUUACAUCGAUCAAUAAGAAUAACUGGAAGUUCUUGUUAUCAGUUAUAUACAUAUUACAAAAAAAAAACGCAAGUUGGACAAAAAAGAUACAGUUAUACCUAUGUCCCAAAUCUUUGCCUACAAAAGCUAUUCAGUAUGGUAAACAGGUAGAACAGUUAGCAUUAGAUUGUUAUAUGAGGAAACGUAACCCUUUGAUCAAAAGGUGCGGUUUUGUGAUAAGUUUUAUAGAACCAUGGAUAGGUGUAAGCCCUGAUGGUGUAGAUCCUAUAAAUGGAGUACUGCUCGAGAUAAAAUGUCCAUUGCUUGGAGCUGACCAUAAUAUAGAAUGGGUAAUGAACGAAUGUAAAACCACAAAAACAUAUUUACGUAGAACCAAC